rnacentral:lncRNA from 1 species
CUUUGUGGUUGGCCUUGCUGGUUGUUCUGUAGCUCUAUCACCCUGGGGAGAGGGAGGGAGGGGGCCCAGGGGCAGACAGAGGCUCAGGCACCAGGAAGCAGCCCCGUGGGGACCAGACAUGGUACCAAAAAUAAGAAAAACUGUGAGAGAUUGUUUGUCCCUGCCCUGCCUGGGAGCUCCCAGGGACACUGUAAUCUCCAUAUUUUUUUACUCCCAUUCCCCAGAGGGGCUCUAGCACCCAGUUCCUAAUUUAUGCUGGAAUGUCUCCUUUCUGAAAUCAGAAGACCUGCUGGGGCCUCUGGGCCCCUCACAUCGUGGGUGUCUCCUUGAUUGUGUUUGUGUACAGUGCAUUCCUGGGAAACCAUUUGGGUUUUGGAUUUUUUAUUAAGCUUAUGACGAAGAACUUUAUGUAAGAUGGAUUUUCACAGUGUUGUUUCAGCUCUCCUGGGAAGAGGAGCCGGGGACUCACUGGGACACCCCUCCUGGUGGAGUGGCUUGGGAGGAGCUGUGUCUCACACUCCAGUAGCUGGUGCCCUGGUGGUAAGCAGGGAGUUGAGUUGCCCAGCUAGAGGAAGG